rnacentral:lncRNA from 1 species
AUACAACAAAUUUCCUUGAAUAUUGCAACCAAUUCAUGUACCAAUGUGCGAGGUAUAAUCUAGUUUCUUGAAACGGCGCACCUACUUUCUGAUAAAAGAUUAAAGCAAGUGAGAUAUAUGGGGCACAAAUAUUUUAGUGGUAGACAUGGUCCAUCCUCUUACUCUGGUGGUUGGCUGUCGGUGCCUCUUCCCGCUUUGUCGCCGGUUCGCCGCCGGAGGAAGCACAAUAUGCAGCAUAGACAUUGAUCUGUCAUGGUCACUACCUUUCUCUCCCUUCUCUCGUUUGCCUGGUCGGUGAUGCUCGCCCCCUCUCUCUCUCUCUCUCUUUGCUCACCACCAAUCAUGUAUCCGACACCGGUAGAUUGACCCAGUGGAAUCAUGCACGAGACAACCGUGGAUAAGAGCAAGAACCUCGUUCGCUUGAACCAUAGCAGACGAGGAGGAUUUGGGGAUCACUUGGUUAUCCUUUUGUUGCUUGAUGGAAUCUGUUUUGUUGAACUUGCAGCAGCUUAUUCAAUACAGAGCAAAUGAAAUUACGCCUACAAGUAGCAAAGGUCAUUUAUGAUCACACUACCCAAAUAAAUAGAUAAUAAAUUUUGCCACCACAUGCUUGAGGAGCUUCUUCUUUUGCUUGCUUAAGCCUUGCAAACUUACAGUAAUAUGAUUGGAGACUUCAAGUGAGUGGCAAGAGAUAGCAAAUAAAUUAUAGAAUAAUGUCAAAUCUUGGCAUAGCUCAUGUGAGGUUUGUGAUUAACUGAAACACUUCAAGCAUGUAUACCUCAAAAAAUUUAGUACAAUGGCAAGGUAGAGACAUGUUGACACUUGAUGCAUGAUUCAUCAUAAUAUUGCAAUGAGUUCAGAACACACGAGAUAAAACUACAUGUGAGUUCACAUCUCACAUAAGUGUAAAUUGUAGCCUCCUCUUUGGAGUCGUCUUCUUUGCUAAAGCUGCAGUGCGUAUCCUCUCUAGACUAGUUCUGGUUUGUGAUGAAAUACUUCUCCGAGAAAGAAAGCAAGGAGGAUGCACAUAUACAUGCUAUCAAAUUUAUAUAAGUAGUUUGUUUCUCAUUUUUUUACAUUGUCGAACAUGUAACUAUUUGUUGUUUACCUUCUAGCGAAUAUGCCUGGAUUGUCGUGUAGUAUUUGUUCUCUACCUAGCUUUUGUGGGCUGCUAGAUUCACCUAUCAUAGCUUUUGUAUUGCUCUUUAUAGGUUUCCUAUUCUUGAAAUUAAAGAAAACAAGGUUUAUUUUUUGGCAUGAGGUGAUAAUUUAAGCUUUGAAUGAAAAAAAUGACAAUUGCCUUCUCUUGGUUCUAAGUCAGCACUUGUAACUAGCUUGCCUAUGACCCUUUGUGCCACAUUUCUUGCAAGUCACUAGGCCUCUAAUCAUUUUCUUCACCUUGCAUUUGUGGGAGUAGUGCUACCAUUCUUGUAACCUUUCUUCAUGUGGCCACCUUCAAGGCAAUCCUUUAAUCCUCAAUUUUUCUUUAUCUUCUUUUAUUUCUUCUCUUAAGUAUUGUCGCCACAACAAAUGGAAGCUCCACCCGCGACCACUAUGAUUUUUCUCUCCCAUAAGAGCCUUGAAAUUAUCCACAGAGUAGUACUAAUGCACAAAACUGUUCAAGGCAUUUUUGUGAUGUCACAAUUUCCAAGGCAUAUUGACGUUGUUUACCACCGUGCUUUCAUUCAAGACAAUUACAAGUCUUCUGAUUAGCUUUGCAAUAUGCAUUUUAAAAUUCUUUAUAUUGUCUGAAACCUCUACACUCCAAUCAAUAGAGUUCACAACUUUCAAGUGCGUAAACCUCUAGUAUUUCCCUCAACUGAACCAUAAUACUUGGUAGUAUCCGUCUAGAUGGUAGUCUUUCUCAAAUCCUUCUCCUCUUCCUCCACAAACCCUUGAUAAUCUCUCUAAGAUUGUGAGCUAGUUCAGCAACAUGUAAGUCCUCAAAGUCUCUGCUCAAGUUGUAGAAUACUCUCGCUAUAUUAUUAGUGAUGUAGUCACACUUGAUGCCCGGAAUGAAGACAUACCUUAUCGAUUUGAGAGUGAUAUCGACUUAAUCAAAGUCAUACCUCAUUUGAUUCUCCAAUACUUGUGCCCAUAAGUUACGUGAACACGUCUUUCAUAUAAGCCAUUGCGGUGGAAAACGUCCUUCUGAAACCGCUGGACCUCUUUGCAAAAUUAUUCAUAAGGUGAAAAACAUUCCCCUUGUUCAACAUUAUAAAAUAUAUUCUUCAUUGCAACAUUUUUAAGUUGAUUCAUAAACCAAGUUCGAUUGUCUUCAGUAUCAGAAGCUAUGAACCAUAGGCAAGUGGAUACAUCCAAUUGUGGCCAUCAAUUAGCCUCAGCUACAAAAAAUCCAACUCUACUUGCAAAGGCUUAGAGAAUGCAGUGAAGUAUUUCCCAAUGCUGAAUAAAGGGAAUGUUUUCCCAUAUUAUGGAGAAUUUUGUGAAAUGGUUCCAUGUGUUUGGAAGGGUGUAUCUUGUGGCAAGGGCUUAUAUGGGAGAGGUGUUCACAGAACAUAUGGAAGCAAUUAUUUGAUAAUAAAAUGGGGUAUGGCUUUUGUUAAGUUAGUGCAUACUCUCAAGUGGGCGAGGUGUGUCUUCAAUCCAGACAUUAAGUGUGAGCUCAUCUCUAGUAACAUAGGAGGGGUUUUCAACAACUGGUUCAGAGAUAUUAUGGACUUAUUGCUGAACUAGCCGACAAGAUUAGAGGGAUGAUCAUGGGUCUCUAGAGGACAAUGAGAAGGCUUGGAGGAAGACUGCCAUUUGGACCGAUCCUACUUAUGGGGGAAGAGGGAAAAUACUAGAGGUUUGGGGCACUUGAAAGUUGUGAAAUCUGUUAACUGGAGUGUAGAGAUUUGAUACAAUAGCAAAACUUAUUGAAAGGCAUAUUGGGAAGCUCAAUCAGAAGACGUGUAGUUUUUCCUUGAAGGGCAGCACACAUACAAGCGAUGUCAACAUGUCUUGCCUUUGUGUCAUCAUAAAAGGGAGUAGAUCUUGAACAAUUUAUGCAUAUGUGUACUAUGUGGGCAGAUUCAAGGAUGUUAUAUGGGACAGAGAUUGAGCCAAUGACAGAGAAAUCACGGUGGCCACGAGUGGAGCUGUCAUUUGAUGUGGUGCCACCAUUUCAAAACAGAAAUAAAGAACGACAAAAAAUGGAGGAUUCAAAGGAUGUGUUAAGGAGGUCACAAGGUGUCAAUGAUGAUAGCACUGGCCCCACAAAUGCCAAGGGGAAGAAAAUGAUUAGAUGCCUAGUGAUUUGCAAGAAAUUUGGUUAAAAGUAUCAUAGGCAAGCUAGUUACAAGUGUCCACUUAAUUGAAGCCAAAAAAGACAAUUGGCGUUCUUUCAUUCAAAGCUUGAAUUAUCACCUCAUGACAAAAGUUUAUUGUUUAAUUCAAGAAAGAGGAAGCCUAAAAGGAACAAUACAUAAGGUAUGCAAGGUGAAUCGAACACCCCACAAAGGCCAACUAGAGAACAGGUACUAUGGGACAGUUAUGCCAUGCACUAGAAGGCAAUCAACGAAUAGUUCUAUGUUUAGCAAUGUAAAAAAAAACAAUUUUCUUAUAUAUAAAUGCCAUAACAUAUAUGUACAACUGCCUUGCUUUAUUGCUAACAGAGGGUAUUUAUUCACAAACCAGCACAACUACUCCAGAGAGGAUACUAGCUGCAGCUCUAGCAAAGAAGAUGGCUACAAAGAGGAAGCUACAAAUUGGAUUAAAAAAUCUCCAUUAAAUUUACUAUUCAAGCUGUGCAUCCACAUGGGCUGCUCUUUUAAGCGUUAUCUUCAGUUGCCUAUAAAAAUGCAAAAGUACAUCACCUAUUGGUAUAUUAUUUACCAAUAUUAUUUGGUAUCACGGUUACAUGAAAUCCAUGAAAUUGAAUUGGGAUAUAUGAGAUGGCCUCCACGCUCACUAUACAUAUUAUAAAUUAGAAAGUAGUAUCAAAGCCUAAGUAUACUAAAACUCCAUGAUCCAUAGAAACCAUGGAUCGACAAUAUUUGUGAGACAACGCUAAGAAAUCAUAUGUGUUUUCGAAUGCAGAUAAACAUCCAACUGAUUUUGCAACAUGCUAGAAAAAAAAACAAUUUUAAUUGAAGAAUUCCACCAUACCUCCUUGCUUUCUCCUUCCACAAACAUAAGACUUCCAAUGCAUUGGCAUGUACGUCCUGCAUGGAUAUAACACCUGUUGAUUUGUUAAAUCUGUAAAAGCUAUUGAACUUCAUUCUUGUGCACAAUUAAACGCAAUGUCUAACAAAUGUUGACUUCCACCUGCCAA